rnacentral:rRNA from 1 species
AGCGAACGCUGGCGGCAGGCCUAACACACGCAAGUCGAACGGAUCCUUCGGGAUUAGUGGCGGACGGGUGAGUAACACGUGGGAACGUGCCCUUUGGUUCGGAACAACUCAGGGAAACUUGAGCUAAUACCGGAUGUGCCCUUCGGGGGAAAGAUUUAUCGCCAUUGGAGCGGCCCGCGUCUGAUUAGCUAGUUGGGGAGGUAAAGACUCAUCAAGGAAACGAUCAGUAGCUGGUCUGAGAGGGUGAUCAGCCACAUUGGGACUGAGACACGGCCCAAACUCCUACGGGAGGCAGCAGUGGGGAAUCUUGCGCAAUGGGCGAAAGCCUGACGCAGCCAUGCCGCGUGAAUGAUGAAGGUCUUAGGAUUGUAAAAUUCUUUCACCGGGGGCGAUAAUGACGGUACCCGGAGAAGAAGCCCCGGCUAACUUCGUGCCAGCAGCCGCCGUAACAC